rnacentral:rRNA from 1 species
CAAAGGGAGUGCUAGCAUUCCCGAGUAGAGUGGCGCACGGGUGAGUAACACGUGGAUAAUCUACCUUUGAAUCCGGGAUAACUGUUCGAAAGAAUCGCUAAUACCGAAUGAAGUCAAUGUUUCCUAGGAGAUAUUGAUGAAAGACAGCCUCUUCUUGAAAGCUGUUGUUUGAAGAUGAGUCCGCGCACCAUUAGCUUGUUGGUGGGGUAAGGGCCUACCAAGGCUCUGAUGGUUAGCUGGUCUGAGAGGAUGAUCAGCCACACUGGAACUGACACACGGUCCAGACUCCUACGGGAGGCAGCAGUGAGGAAUUUUGCGCAAUGGGGGCAACCCUGACGCAGCAACGCCGCGUGAGUGAAGAAGGCCCUUGUGUCGUAAAACUCUGUCAAUGGGGAAGAAGUUAUUAUACUUUAAUAGAGUAUAGUAUUGACGGGUACCCAUGAAGGAAGCACCGGCUAACUCCGUGCCAGCAGCCCGCGGUCAUACGGGGGGUGCAAGCGUUAUU